CCUACGGGUGGCAGCAGUGAGGAAUAUUGGUCAAUGGGCGGGAGCCUGAACCAGCCAAGCCGCGUGAAGGAAGAAGGCGCCAGGCGUCGUAAACUUCUUUUGUCGGGGAACAAAGGGCGCCACGUGUGGCGUUGUGAGUGUACCCGAAGAAAAAGCAUCGGCUAACUCCGUGCCAGCAGCCGCGGUAAUACGGAGGAUGCGAGCGUUAUCCGGAUUUAUUGGGUUUAAAGGGUGCGUAGGCGGGCUUUUAAGUCAGCGGUAAAAAUUCGGGGCUCAACCCCGUCCGGCCGUUGAAACUGGGGGCCUUGAGUGGGCGAGAAGAAGGCGGAAUGCGUGGUGUAGCGGUGAAAUGCAUAGAUAUCACGCAGAACCCCGAUUGCGAAGGCAGCCUUCCGGCGCCCUACUGACGCUGAGGCACGAAAGUGCGGGGAUCGAACAGGAUUAGAUACCCGGGUAGUC
rnacentral:rRNA from 1 species